AAUUUUUAUUAAUAUAUUUAGAAAGCUACAAUUGUGGACCCUCCAAGGGAAACAUCUGAGGAAAUCCUGAACUGGAGAAAGCUAGGUCAAUGUAUGUUGUUAAAGUUCUUUAAGUGAAAAGUGAUCCCCUAGGCAGCCAGGAUCCGAAGCCUCAUUCUAACACAGGGUAAAUCCUAUUUCUCCUCACUCUAAUGUGGGGAAGAGGUGAGCAGAUGCAUCAUGUAUGAGAUCUGAAGA